rnacentral:rRNA from 1 species
CUCCAAUAGCGUAUAUUAAAGUUGUUGCAGUUAAAAAGCUCGUAGUUGAACCUUUGGCCUGGCUGGCAGGUCCGCCUCACCGCGUGCACUUGUCCGGCCGGGCCUUUUCUUCUGGAGAACCGCAUGCCCUUCACUGGGUGUGUUGGGGACCAGGACUUUUACUUUGAAAAAAUUAGAGUGUUCAAAGCAGGCCUUUGCUCGAAUACGUUAGCAUGGAAUAAUAGAAUAGGACGUGCGGUCCUAUUUUGUUGGUUUCUAGGACCGCCGUAAUGAUUAAUAGGGACAGUCGGGGGCAUCAGUAUUCAAUUGUCAGAGGUGAAAUUCUUGGAUUUAUUGAAGACUAACUACUGCGAAAGCAUUUGCCAAGGAUGUUUUCAUUAAUCAGUGAACGAAAGUUAGGGGAUCGAAGACGAUCAGAUACCGUCGUAGUCUUAACCAUAAACUAUGCCGACUAGGGAUCGGGCGGUGUUUCUAUUGUGACCCGCUCGGCACCUUACGAGAAAUCAAAGUGUUUGGGUUCUGGGGGGAGUAUGGUCGCAAGGCUGAAACUUAAAGAAAUUGACGGAAGGGCACCACCAGGCGUGGAGCCUGCGGCUUAAUUCGACUCAAC